UCAAAAACAGUCCCGAGACGCUAACUUUGGGAGUUAGAGAGUGGUGUAAACCAUUUUUGAA
rnacentral:tRNA from 5 species